AGCCCUUGGAUAACUUUAGGGCAUCCUUGGGGAAAUGCACCUGGUGCCUAGCUAAUCGAGUAACUCUAAAAACAUGGGUACAUGCUCGUAACGAGGGACGUGAUCUUGCUCGUGAGAGUAAUUAAUUAUUCGACUGGGUCGUUACAAUAAAUGGAAUCUUGUGCUAGUGGCUGCUUGUGAAGUAUGGAAGAAGAUCAAAUUUCAAUUCUCAGCCAUGGAUACUUUGUAAUCUAGUGUUAUCCAGUAGUAAUUACUGCUCGUUCUCUUAAUUGAAUUGUAAUUAAACUUGGCCCAACUAUUUACUAAAAGGAUUAAGUUGAAUAUAAAACAUAUAUACUAUUGUAUAUAUUUUAUAGAUACAUAUUUAUCUUGAUAUAUAAAAUCUUAAAUA